GGCGGGCUGGCGUAAUUGGUAAACGCAAGCGAUUUGAAAACGCUCGUUCGUAGCACAACGGGUUCGGGUGGGGCGCGGCCUUCGGGGUCAGUGCCCAUGUGAUUCGGUCCUUCACGUAGAACUCCAGGUUCGAGUCCUGGGCCCGCCG
rnacentral:tRNA from 1 species